CUGAGAUGUUUUGUCCAACCCAACUUCAUUGAUGGAUUUGACAUCAAAAUAAAAGAAGUGGGGACAGUCUAUCUGUCUUGCGCUCUCUCUUUCUUUCUCUCUCUCUCUCCCUCUCUUGCUCAGGUCUGUAUGGACACUGAGUCUAGGAAACUGGAGAUGGCUUGGCUGUCGCCUAGCAACAAUAGAACUGCCAACAAGCACAGAGUGAGAGAGAAAGAGAACACACAAUCCAGAGAAGAGCAUGAGGGAACAGGUGUGAGGUACCUGAACACAGGAGGACUCGUUCAGUGAGCACACCAUGUCCAUCAGGAGAUCCGCCAACGUUCUCCGAAGUCCCUUUUAACCACUGCAAAGUGAUUCAUGACUCAGUCAUUCACAGACUACUGUUGAGGAAGUCAAGUGACAUCACGCCUUACGAAGCACAGACCCUGUCUGAGUGCGUACAUCAUGAUGUUCGUGGGGUCCCGUAUGGGCUCGUGUCCCCUGCCCCCGCGCAGCACCGCCUCGGGUCAGUCUGACGGCGAUCCCCAGGAGGAGCACAGCCACGGCCACGCCUCGAGCCCCCCGGCCCCGCCCCUCGGCCCCCUGCCCUGCUGGGCCACGCA